AUUCCCCAUCUGAAGACUGAGACAUUGAACUGUGAUCUUUAUCUUUUUUUUUUUUUUUUAAAGCUCCUGUACACCUGACCAAAAGCAGUGUGCAGUAUUUUCUGUAACUAAAACUAAAUCCAGUUCAAUGGUUUGCCUCUGAAAAAAUUAGUAUGACCUUUCUCUUGCUAACAUACCCAGGACCAAAAAUUGUCUUCUAAUCACACCUGCCAGGGCAUAAAUCUUGUAUUUUGCACAGCUUGCCAUGGGCUGAGUGAAGACUGAGUUUGAAUUGAAAAAAAGCCUUAGUUUCGUGCAUAUCCUAUUUCUAGGUGACAUUUCCUAAGCAUCCUGUACACAUGAGCUGUCUGAACACAUCUUCUGGAGCAGAUGAUGUGGGCAGCCACCCAGUAGGAUGUUCUCAGUGAACCUUUGGGGCCACCCACUGUCCCCUACCAGCCCAAAAUACUCCAUGCAAUAAGUCAGCAACCAGAUGGCUGUGACUCCAGAUUCCAUGACUCCUUCUGUCCCAUCUAUUUAUUGUCUUGGUUAUUGUGUGUGUAGACAGGUAGGCAGGGACAUGGGGAGGGUCUCUUUAGGGCUGCUGUCUACUUUGGACCAGGAUCAACAAGAAGUGCCCAGUGCCUGAUCUGCAGUAAUUGUCAUGGUGACAACACCCUCUUUGUCACUUCUUUACAACAAAGCUGUAAAUUUGUAUGAGCCCUGGGUGGUUGGAGUUGCCGCAGGGAUACCAACCUUACUGGUCUUCAUCCUUGUAGUCAUCUUGGUACUGGUCUGUGUUCACCAGGGGACAAACUGCAGCUGGAAGCAGAAGAGCCAAAGUCCCAAUGUGCAAGAACAACAUGAAUAUGAAUCAUCCCCUCCCAGACCUUCAGAAGACUUUUAUAUAACCAUGAUGAAGGGGACAACAAAUAUCUAUGUAAAUGAAGAUCAAGAAAAAUAUCUCAAAACAGACAUCCAAACACAAGCGAAACUCACAAGGAUGAAUAAGCCCAGAGGAGAACCACCUGUAGUGGAAUCCUUUUAUGAAAAUCGUCUACCUUAUAACUGAAAGAAAAGCACCAAGGAGUGGCCGGGAACAAAAACAGCAGGCAGAAAUAUUUCCUUGGUCACCAAGGGUCACAUGGCUGCAUUUUAUGGAGAAGAGAGUUUUCUUUUUGUGCAUACAUGUGUUUCUACAAAAGACAGGACAAAGAGACAUUGGAUGAAGAAGGAACCUGUUUGAACUGAUGCCUUUGAGAUACAAAAGCAAAAUGAGACUCCCCAGGAGUACCGAAACUCAAAGAGAUGGUUUUGCUGUCCUAGUAAAUUUAGGUUAAUUCAAUCUAAUAAAGAACAGGUAAAUCUUUGCA
rnacentral:lncRNA from 1 species